CGGCGAGUAGCGCAGCUUGGUAGCGCUCCUGGUUUGGGACCAGGAGGCCGGAGGUUCAAAUCCUCUCUCGCCGA
rnacentral:tRNA from 1 species